UGGGCCGUCUGUGGACCAGACACCCAGACUGACGGCACACCGACGGCCAUCGGAGACGGAGCUGGCGACCGGUUCCGGCGAGCCGCAGGCGACGAAGAGGGGACGCGGCAACCUGUUCUAGCGAGGCGGGUGCGGGGAAGAUUCGGAAGCAGCGAUGUCGAAGCGGCUGCUGUCGCGGCUGCUCGGCAUGUUCCAAUCGCGGACGCAGGUGGGCGUCGACAAGGCCGGCAACCGCUACUUCACCCGCGUCGAGGAGGUCGACGGCGCCAUGAAGGAGAGGCGGUGGGUGGAGUUCAAGGGCGCCGACCAGGACUCGACCACCGUUCCAGGCAUGUAUGGAUUGUGGCUUUGAUUCUAGAUUAUAUGCUUGGAUUUGUUGAUUGCAUACACAACAUCUCAUAGUUAUGUCGUGCUUGUAGUCGAGUGGAUUUGCUGGCUGAAUGGCCAAAGGAAGAAAGCUCCAACACCAGAGGAAUUGGCUGAGCUGGAGGCAAGGCGUGAACGUGUCAAGCAAAACAUUGCACUUCUCAAAAAGAAAGAAGAAGAGGAAAGAAAAACCGGUAUGCGACCAGUCAAGAAAAUUGGGAAAGCUGAAUCUCCAAAUCUCCAAAGUUUUGUGAAGCAGCAGUUCUCAGGUACUCCUCCAGAUCAGCAGAAAGGACCUGAGGAGGUAUCUAGGCCUAAGGACGCAACUCAUACAGAAGAUGCUACGACAGACAAUGACAGGUCAUCUGAACCAACAGGAACUGGCGCCACUUUCAAGCCAGGGACUUGGCAGCCACCAACAUGAAUGCCAACCUGAACUCUAGAAGAUAAAGGGUGGUGUAACAGAGCAUUUUCCUUUCACCAAUUUGUGUAACAUUUUAACAUUUGCUCCGAAAGAAUCAAUAGCAUGAGUUCCUUUUUUUUCAGCUGGUUACUCCAUCUGAUGGAGUUUUAGGUGAUCAGGGCUCCACGUUAUCCCUGGAAUCGUCUUCAAAAAAAAAUGUUAUCCCUGGAUUUUGGCCAAAUUGCCCUCUGUAAUCUUUUUAUGGACUUGUGGUAGCAACUAUAAUUAACUUGAGAGAUGUUCUGAAUCAAGGCUCUGUCAGGGACAUUGUUCAACAUAUUUCGGUAUGUCCGAUGCAAAAUAUUUCCCUAAAUGAAUUCAAAGUCUAUAUUACGUCCUA